CUAAAGGUGUUCUUCUUUUGUAUGGACCCCAAUUAAAGUUUUUCAUUCCUCUCUUCACCACUGAUCGAUGCUUGAGUUCUAACCAGCACCACUAAAUGCAUCUUCCUUCUUUCCUUUCUCCUCCUUCGUUCAAUCAGCCGUGAGUGUGCGCCAGAACCUCCUCUUCCCCUGCGUUGUGUUGCUGUCGUUCACUGUUGUAGGAGUCCCGUUGAACACACAGCUCCAUCAUUUGCUGCUUCACAUCACCACUAUCUUCUUCCCUUACAUUGAUGUUGUCGAUCUGAUUUAAGAGAGUUUCAAAUCUUCUUCUUUCUUCUGACAUCGCUGUGCAAGUUGAAAGAGAGCACAAGAAGGUUGGGAAAGGAAGCAAGGAAGGAUUAGCUUCUUUUCAGUAGUGGUAUGACUACCGGAGUGUAAUGAAUGUAUAAUAGUGUUGAUAAAUGAUUGAGUUGCCAACUAGGAUGCAUAAGUAUAUGUGAAUAUGAAUAUGUGAUUUUGUUGUUGAGAACUUGCUUGUAUAUUUGGUAACGCAUCAUGCCAAGUGUAUCAUAGUGGUGGAUAUGUGGAUAAGUCUAGAUAAUAUUGAUGCAAGCUUAUAUUAUGCUGUAUAGCUUGUUCCACUGAAAUGUAUGUGAAUUGUGAUAUGAAAAUGUGUAUAUAUAUGAGUAACUUGAUUAAA